rnacentral:rRNA from 1 species
GGGGGGGCCCUACCAUGCAAGUCGAACGGCAGCACAGAAGAGCUUGCUCUUUGGGUGGCGAGUGGCGGACGGGUGAGUAAUGUCUGGGAAACUGCCCGAUGGAGGGGGAUAACUACUGGAAACGGUAGCUAAUACCGCAUAACGUCGCAAGACCAAAGUGGGGGACCUUCGGGCCUCACACCAUCGGAUGUGCCCAGAUGGGAUUAGCUAGUAGGUGGGGUAAUGGCUCACCUAGGCGACGAUCCCUAGCUGGUCUGAGAGGAUGACCAGCCACACUGGAACUGAGACACGGUCCAGACUCCUACGGGAGGCAGCAGUGGGGAAUAUUGCACAAUGGGCGCAAGCCUGAUGCAGCCAUGCCGCGUGUAUGAAGAAGGCCUUCGGGUUGUAAAGUACUUUCAGCGGGGAGGAAGGCGGUGAGGUUAAUAACCUUGCCGAUUGACGUUACCCGCAGAAGAAGCACCGGCUAACUCCGUGCCAGCAGCCGCGGUAAUACGGAGGGUGCAAGCGUUAAUCGGAAUUACUGGGCGUAAAGCGCACGCAGGCGGUCUGUUAAGUCAGAAGUGAAAUUCCCCGGGCUUGCCUGGGAGAUGGGCUUUUGAAACUGGCAGGCUUGAGUCUCGUAGAGGGGGGUAGAAUUCCAGGUGUAGCGGUGAAAUGCGUAGAGAUCUGGAGGAAUACCGGUGGCGAAGGCGGCCCCCUGGACGAAGACUGACGCUCAGGUGCGAAAGCGUGGGGAGCAAACAGGUUAG